rnacentral:rRNA from 1 species
UACGGGGGGUGCGAGCGUUGUCCGGAAUCACUGGGCGUAAAGGGCGCGUAGGCGGUCAGCACAAGUCAGUUGUGAAAUCUCCGGGCUUAACUCGGAAAGGUCAACUGAUACUGUGCGACUAGAGUGCGGAAGGGGCAACUGGAAUUCUCGGUGUAGCGGUGAAAUGCGUAGAUAUCGAGAGGAACACCUGCGGCGAAGGCGGGUUGCUGGGCCGACACUGACGCUGAGGCGCGAAAGCUAGGGGAGCAAACGGG